rnacentral:rRNA from 1 species
UACGUAGGGUGCGAGCGUUGUCCGGAUUUAUUGGGCGUAAAGAGCUCGUAGGCGGCUCGUCGCGUCGACUGUGAAAACCUGGGGCUUAACCCUGGGCUUGCAGUCGAUACGGGCGGGCUAGAGUUCGGUAGGGGAGACUGGAAUUCCUGGUGUAGCGGUGAAAUGCGCAGAUAUCAGGAGGAACACCGGUGGCGAAGGCGGGUCUCUGGGCCGAUACUGACGCUGAGGAGCGAGAGCGUGGGGAGCGAACAGG